UACUUUCUUACAAAAUAAUUAUAUCAUCACACAAUAUCAAUUAUACCUUGUAAGACCUAGUCAAUAAAAUCUCACACCUCUAUUAUUGAAUUUAAUACUACAACACGUCUAUUUUAAUAGCCAAUGAAUAAAUUUAUGACUAUUAUUUAAUCAUGGGACCAUGGGGAGUCAUCUCAACCACCAUUGUAUUAAAAAAAAAUUAAAAUUAUUAAGAAAUAAUUUCCAGAAAAUAGAAAAACGUCCAAAACACAGUCCAAACAACCUCAAAACGCCGAAAAAUACCAUGAUUUACAUCUAUAGCGGUGAGUUUGCAUCACGUCUCUUUCGAUGGACCAACCAAAUUUCAGCUCAAUCGGAGUCCGUCAAGUUCGCUGACCUCCGAAAAUACCGGCUACUCGGUCAAAAUCAAGUUUUGCGUUUUUCUAGGGUUUACCCAAAAAAAUUCAAAUAAUCUCAAUAAAAUAUCAAUAAGAAAACAUAUAUCUCAUCAUUACAAGAAUAAUCCAAAAUUUUUGCAUAGUCAAUUCACAAAAUAGCAGUGCAGUUUUUAAGAAAACUACAUAUACGUGUAAUUCAAAAAACGCACAUAAACAUCAUAUUCUUAUUUCAUGAAAAACUUAGUUCUCUAAUUGUGAAAUACAUAAACAACCGCAUGUAGUUGUCCACAACGGUCAGUUGGACACCUUAAUUGACCCCUUUAUCAGUUAGAUACUUCAAGUGAAUAUUACUCAGAUCACAUAGACACACGUCACAUAUAUGGCAUAUGCGUGAUUGCUAACAAAGUUUUGAGCGCGUGAACCAUUUUUUGCAGCAUUUUUUUUUAAAGAAAAAACAUGAAAUACCUCCCUUCUUCUUCCUCACAGAUUCCUCCAUGGCUAAUCCUCUUUUGCAGACGCCAUCUUUGCACUUCUUUUAUAAAUAUUGCACUGUGUGUAAAUCUCCAUAUGUCAAAUCCUUUUCAACAAACCGUUAUUAUAUAAAAACUUUAUAUGUUGAGAUUAAUAUGAAUCUAAUGAUAGAAUACACAGACAUUAAUAUUAUGCGCUUAUUACAAAAUAAUUUCUCAGAAGAAGAACCACACAAUAAAUUCUUAGAAGAAGAACCAAACAGGGUUACAUCGGAUAGGAAAAUAGAGGUUUGGGCUGAUAAAUCCUAAUCCUAAGGUGAUAAUAUUUGUAGGAAAAUAAUGAAUCCUUUAUUUUUUUUAAUACUGAAAACACUAAAUUAUAAAGAAAAAUUAGAAAGAAUUUCAUGUUUUUGAGUAAAUUCGUUGGACUACCUUUUGAUAUAAGUUUUCUUUUUACAAAAUUAAUCAAAAUCUGAAGAUCCCUUCUCUUUUUGAUUUAUUUACUCCUUAUUUUUGGAGAUGAGAAGAACCAACGAGCUAAGCUAGUUUUGGUUGUGGGUGGGGCUGGG
rnacentral:lncRNA from 1 species